CCUGCGCCUGGCGGGGACCUGGUCCCCGCCACCACCUGCCAGCGCGUCUAGACCAGCAACAACUUCGUAGCAUCCUGGAACCAUGAUAGACUUCUUAGCAGCUUUUUUUACUUUUAUGAUUCUCGGUAUUUCUAUGAUAUCACAGUAACCGAUUAAAUAUUCUGUAUAAUUUUACAUAUUAUUUUGCUUGAAUAAUUAAACCCGGGCCCAGGCAGAAAAUAGCCCCUCAUCUCUGUGCAGGGCUUCUUCCCUCGUUCUGAGUCUCCCCGAGGAUGCCACCUCACUGCCCCCCCUGAAGUACCUAGGGCAGGGCUUAUGCAGAAAUUUUUGUGCGAAACUAGGGGCCGUGGUGGGGACAGUUGGGAUCCCCCAGUCCAUGCCUCUCUCAGCUUGGCUGAGCUGUUGGAUUCCUGGGCCCCACCUCAGAAUUAUCCAUUCUAAAACUACCAGGACUAGGGGCAGAGGGGGUGCCUGGAAACGAACCAAUUUCCAGAAUGACUGAGCACUGUCCACAUUUGGCCAUCAUGGGCAACGUCAAGUGCGUUCAUGUUUAUGAAUGGGGACUCCGAGGCCCCCCCACAGGGCAAGACCUGGGACUUCUCACCAGGGAGAUGUUCCCACCAGGAUUUCCUGAUCUGGUGACUGUUGUUUCUGAGUAGUCCCGUUUUCCUGAUGGGUAAUCUUCCUGAAUUCUAAAAGGGUCCAGGUAAUCAAGAAACUUAAAAAAAAAAAGGCAUGAAACUCUUAACAAACAUUUUUCUGUAAUGUGUGCUUUUUUUUUCCUGAACCCACUGUUUUCUUAUGUUACUGACAUACUGAGCCCCCAAAAUCUGUUCAUUUCUCAGGAAAGAAAAAGUGGCCAUCCUAGAAUUUGCCAUUGUUUUCUCUGGCUUGGCUCCAAGAAGCCCUCGACAGCCCCUCCAUGAGUGAGCCGAGCACAUCUUGCUCCCUAAGGAGGAUGUCAGCUCCUACCUCAGCGGUGUGCACAGAGGUGAAACCAUCCCUGAGGACUGACCCACGUGUCACCUUUCUCAUACGGGUCAUUGCUCAACCCAGGGCUUGCCCGGGUCCCCAUCCGCUCCCGUCCACCCCGCCUAAAGACGUCUUCAACACGAAGUCUCUAACAGCGAACCAUCCUGCACUUUACAGAAUGACUGCCCUCAGCUUGGAAGUGAGUUCCGCUCUUUUGUAACAGGAAUAGAAUUUAUGUUCUGUUCUUCUGAGGGUGUGUUGGGGUCUCAAGAAACUGUCUUUCAGUUGCCUUAGUUAAAAGAGGUCAAUGAAUGUACAAAUGUGAUGGUGGAACGGGGCAGAGGGGAUCAACCUUCUGUGUCCGUUUUCUUUGAGAAAAGGCGCUCCACUUCUCAAAGCGGUUUGCUUGCAGUGGAAGGAAGACUGGAAUCCUUUGGGGUCAACUGAAGUCAGUCAUCACCACCAGCCCCCACCCCCACCCUUUCAAAAUUAGUAAGAUAUUUGACGAUCAAGCAAUUCGUUGGGUAUGUUCUGGCUACUAAUGUUACCAAAAUCUGUAAUUGUGUGUGCGUGUGUUUUAAUUUGUUGCUUUCGUAUUUGUAAUUUUAUGACACUCGAAGGUUUUCUGUGUCUUACCUAUUUUUAAUUAAUUUUCUGCACGUUGAUUUUUUUUCUUUGUUUUUAAUUCCAUACAGAAUAUUCAAUUCUCAAAACACAUUAAAAUGAUUUGCCUGCUAGGGUAUGGUUCAUUUUAUAAUUACA